AGUGAACGCUGGCGAUAGGCCUAACACAUGCAAGUCGAACGGCAGCACAGUAAGAGCUUGCUCUUACGGGUGGCGAGUGGCGGACGGGUGAGGAAUACAUCGGAAUCUACUUUUUCGUGGGGGAUAACGUAGGGAAACUUACGCUAAUACCGCAUACGACUUACGGGUGAAAGCAGGGGAUCUUCGGACCUUGCGCGAUUGAAUGAGCCGAUGUCGGAUUAGCUAGUUGGCGGGGUAAAGGCCCACCAAGGCGACGAUCCGUAGCUGGUCUGAGAGGAUGAUCAGCCACACUGGAACUGAGACACGGUCCAGACUCCUACGGGAGGCAGCAGUGGGGAAUAUUGGACAAUGGGCGCAAGCCUGAUCCAGCCAUACCGCGUGGGUGAAGAAGGCCUUCGGGUUGUAAAGCCCUUUUGUUGGGAAAGAAAAGCAGCAGGUUAAUACCCCGCUGUUCUGACGGUACCCAAAGAAUAAGCACCGGCUAACUUCGUG
rnacentral:rRNA from 1 species